CCACCGAUAGCUCAGGGGUAGAGCGGAGGACUGUAGUGUGUGCAUGUUAUCCUUAGGUCGCUGGUUCAAAUCCGGCUCGGUGGA
rnacentral:tRNA from 1 species